rnacentral:rRNA from 1 species
GACGAACGCUGGCGGCGUGCCUAAUACAUGCAAGUGGGACGCAAGGACACACACUGUGCUUGCACACCGUGUUUUCUUGAGUCGCGAACGGGUGAGUAACGCGUAGGUAACCUGCCUAUUAGCGGGGGAUAACUAUUGGAAACGAUAGCUAAUACCGCAUAAUAUUAAUUAUUGCAUGAUAAUUGAUUGAAAGAUGCAAGCGCAUCACUAGUAGAUGGACCUGCGUUGUAUUAGCUAGUUGGUAAGGUAAGAGCUUACCAAGGCGACGAUACAUAGCCGAACUGAGAGGGUGAUCGGCCACACUGGGACUGAGACACGGCCCAGACUCCUACGGGAGGCAGCAGUAGGGAAUCUUCGGCAAUGGACGAAAGUCUGACCGAGCAACGCCGCGUGAGUGAAGAAGGUUUUCGGAUCGUAAAGCUCUGUUGUAAGUCAAGAACGUGUGUGAGAGUGGAAAGUUCACACAGUGACGGUAGCUUACCAGAAAGGGACGGCUAACUACGUG